CCUACGGGGGGCAGCAGUGAGGAAUAUUGGUCAAUGGCCGGAAGGCUGAACCAGCCAUGCCGCGUGAAGGUCAGUGCCCUAUGGGCGUUAAACUUCUUUUGUGCGGGAGCAAUAAUGGUCACGUGUGGCCAGACGAGAGUACCGUACGAAUAAGCAUCGGCUAACUCCGUGCCAGCAGCCGCGGUAAUACGGGGGAUGCAAGCGUUAUCCGGAGUUAUUGGGUUUAAAGGGUGCGUAGGCUGUGAGGUAAGUCAGCGGUGAAAUGCCCCCGCUCAACGGGGUGAAGUGCCAUUGAUACUGCCUUGCUGGAAUGCGCAUGCCGUGGGAGGAAUGUGUGGUGUAGCGGUGAAAUGCAUAGAUAUCACACAGAACACCGAUUGCGAAGGCAUCGUACCGGCGCCGGACUGACGCUGAGGCACGAAAGCGUGGGUAUCGAACAGGAUUAGAUACCCGAGUAGUC
rnacentral:rRNA from 1 species